UACAGAGGGUGCGAGCGUUAAUCGGAAUUACUGGGCGUAAAGCGUGCGUAGACGGUUAUUUAAGUCGGGUGUGAAAGCCCCGGGCUCAACCUGGGAAUUGCAUUCGAGACUGAAUAGCUAGGGUACGGUAGAGGGAAGUGGAAUUUCCGGUGUAGCGGUGAAAUGCGUAGAGAUCGGAAAGAACACCAACGGCGAAAGCACUCUGCUGGGCCGACACUGACACUGAGGGACGAAAGCUAGGGGAGCGAAUGGG
rnacentral:rRNA from 1 species